UUAUACAGCGAAACUGCGAAUGGCUCAUUAAAUCAGUUAUCGUCUAUUUGAUAGUACCUUACUACUUGGAUAACCGUGGUAAUUCUAGAGCUAAUACAUGCUGAAAACCCCGACUUCGGAAGGGAUGUAUUUAUUAGAUUAAAAACCAAUGCCCUCCGGGGCUCACUGGUGAUUCAUAAUAACUGCUCGAAUCGCACGGCCUUGCGCCGGCGAUGGUUCAUUCAAAUCUCUGCCCUAUCAACUUUCGACGGCUGGGUCUUGGCCAGCCAUGGUGACAACGGGUAACGGAGGGUUAGGGCUCGACCCCGGAGAAGGAGCCUGAGAAACGGCUACUACAUCCAAGGAAGGCAGCAGGCGCGCAAAUUACCCAAUCCCGACUCGGGGAGGUAGUGACAAUAAAUACUGAUACAGGGCUCUUUUGGGUCUUGUAAUUGGAAUGAGUACAAUUUAAUUCCCUUAACGAGGAACAAUUGGAGGGCAAGUCUGGUGCCAGCAGCCGCGGUAAUUCCAGCUCCAAUAGCGUAUAUUAAAGUUGUUGCAGUUAAAAAGCUCGUAGUUGAACCUUGGGCCUGGCUGGCCGGUCCGCCUCACCGCGUGCACUGGUCCGGCCGGGCCUUUCCCUCUGGGGAGCCGCAUGCCCUUCACUGGGCGUGUCGGGGAACCAGGACUUUUACUUUGAAAAAAUUAAAGUGUUCAAAGCAGGCUUAUGCUCGGAUACAUUAGCAUGGAAUAAUAGAAUAGGACGUGCGGUUCUAUUUUGUUGGUUUCUAGGACCGCCGUAAUGAUUAAUAGGGACAGUCGGGGGCAUCAGUAUUCAGUUGUCAGAGGUGAAA
rnacentral:rRNA from 1 species